rnacentral:rRNA from 1 species
CAGUCGAGCGGUAGAGAGGUGCUUGCACCUCUUGAGAGCGGCGGACGGGUGAGUAAAGCCUAGGAAUCUGCCUGGUAGUGGGGGAUAACGCUCGGAAACGGACGCUAAUACCGCAUACGUCCUACGGGAGAAAGCAGGGGACCUUCGGGCCUUGCGCUAUCAGAUGAGCCUAGGUCGGAUUAGCUAGUUGGUGAGGUAAUGGCUCACCAAGGCGACGAUCCGUAACUGGUCUGAGAGGAUGAUCAGUCACACUGGAACUGAGACACGGUCCAGACUCCUACGGGAGGCAGCAGUGGGGAAUAUUGGACAAUGGGCGAAAGCCUGAUCCAGCCAUGCCGCGUGUGUGAAGAAGGUCUUCGGAUUGUAAAGCACUUUAAGUUGGGAGGAAGGGCAUUAACCUAAUACGUUAGUGUUUUGACGUUACCGACAGAAUAAGCACCGGCUAACUCUGUGCCAGCAGCCGCGGUAAUACAGAGGGUGCAAGCGUUAAUCGGAAUUACUGGGCGUAAAGCGCGCGUAGGUGGUUCGUUAAGUUGGAUGUGAAAUCCCCGGGCUCAACCUGGGAACUGCAUUCAAAACUGUCGAGCUAGAGUAUGGUAGAGGGUGGUGGAAUUUCCUGUGUAGCGGUGAAAUGCGUAGAUAUAGGAAG